ACUUGGCCAUGAGGAUUUAUAUACAGCUUUUAAUGCCAGUUCUGCUUCAGAAAAUUCUUGAUUGAGAAGCUGUUUUACAUUCUGAGCCUCUC
rnacentral:snoRNA from 2 species